GUGAGAAAAGGGCAGGGAAGUUUCCAGUCCACAUCAUAGUCACCAAACAGAUCCAGCUGGUUUCUGGGUGUUGAAGUACAGACAGUGGCUAAAGGCAGGUUGGAGAUGGACAACACUGCAUCCACCUCAGCAGUAGAAGAGUUAAUUAUAUCUGUGAAGAAAAGUGUGUUGGAGCCUCUCAAUGUUAGAAAUAGACCAAACCAGAACAAGUAAGUGCUUCAGAGUACAUCAUCCUUUCAAGUACUGGUGUUGGUGAGAUAAGAGAUAAUACUUAUUUGAGAGGAGAGAGAGAGAACAUACAUUGCUUGUAACUUGAGGGCAGAGAAUCUUAGGGAAUAACCUUUCUUCAGGCAUGUCAUUUCACUCCUGUUGGGAGUGCUUAGCUUACAAUUAAGUCUGUGAUGAGACAGUGUGUGUGGGGGUGUGUGUAUGUACGUACAGCACAAAGCCUAUAGUUAGUACACAGAACUAAAUGUUUUGUUCUGGUGUCCCAAAGGUACACAGCCUCUCAGCACUCAUUAAUUUCAGUGGAUGUGAGACCUUUCAAAGACCUGGAUUCAUACAACAAACUUUUCACCACAGGCUUUGGACCGCUCCUUUCAUUUUGCUCAUGAUGCAGUAGGAACUCGGAAACCAGCUCUGCAUCUAUUCAUCAGCUGCAGCAUGAGCCCUUUUUAUUAGUGCCUUUUGUGGCAAUAGCUGUGAUCUAUUUAAAGUGCUAAGCCUUCAAACUGCAAUUCCUUGCAUCAGAUGUACUAGAAGCAGAUAUCCAUGGAAGAGAGAAAGUGAGUCAAAAUGAACUCGUUGUGUUGCUGCUCAAAGGCCGGGCUCCAUCCCAAUCAGCGACAGUUACCCAGCUCCUGCCAUGUGAAGAUGGGCUUUGGCACCUCCUUUGGUGGUUUGGGGGGUGGAGGGAGGUGAGGUUUCCUGGGGAACUUCUGCUGCAAUUUAUAUUCCCUGCUUCAUAUUCACUCUCUUUCAUUUAUUCCCCUCAGAGAGCAUUCAAGGAGAAGGAGACACUGCUGUGCUUGCCUAGCUCCGCAUCCUUAUAGACGUCAUGGCUAAAUCCGUGUGGCAUGACUGGCAGCCUCAGUCCUAAGUUAACAGCAAAGUCAUUCUCAGCUCAGCAGGUGGUCCUUAAACAUGAACUUUAAAGCUGCAUGGGCGGGUGUAACUUGCUCCAGAAAAGGCCAUUCACUUCAAAAAAGACAGACUUUGGCUCAUUUUCUUCCAAACGCUACGUCCUGUUGCACAAGAGUACACAAGCAAUUCCUUUGCCAAAUCCGACUUAACGACAUUGUCAUCUUUGAAGAAAAGAACCAGAAAAAAUAAUCCAAAGAAGAUAACUGCACUGUAAGGCACCUGUGCCCUCAACACUGGCCUCUCCUUUGUCAUCGUCCUGUACCAAAGUUCGUGUGUUGGUGGACCAAGGAACAAAGAAACGCAAGAGGGUUGAAAUCCUGGUGAAAGCUGGUGCCAAAAAGGUGGGAAAAUGUGAGUCCAGUGCUGCUGUCUUCAGCCCAGUCCUCCUGCAAAGCAUGCUUUUCCAGAAGCCUUUUCAAUUCCCACGGGAGGCCUGAGGAAGCUGGGGACCCUCACCUCUAUCCAACCCCAUCACUCAUUGAAGAACGGUUGCGUUUACCACGGCUGUGUUUCCCUGCGGCACUCAUUUCUCCAGCAGAGAGAGACUGAAAGGAGAGGUUACGCUGUGUAUCCACCCAAGGGUCCCCGAGCAAAAACCUUUCUGCAGCACUCUGCC